GACGAACGCUGGCGGCGUGCUUAACACAUGCAAGUCGAACGAAGAGCGAUGGAAGCUUGCUUCUAUCAAUCUUAGUGGCGAACGGGUGAGUAACGCGUAAUCAACCUGCCCUUCAGAGGGGGACAACAGUUGGAAACGACUGCUAAUACCGCAUACGAUCUGACCUCGGCAUCGAGGAUAGAUGAAAGGUGGCCUCUACAUGUAAGCUAUCACUGAAGGAGGGGAUUGCGUCUGAUUAGCUAGUUGGAGGGGUAACGGCCCACCAGGUCGAUGAUCAGUAGCCGGUGGCAUGGAAGGAUAGCCGGCCUGGGAACGUGACCGGCGACAUUGGGCCUGAGGGAGGCACCAGAGGGGAAUGUGCCGCAGUAGUGGGAAAUCUUGCGGAACAAGCCGGCGUGUGAUGGAGCGGCCUCGGGUUUGGAAAGACUGUUUAAGGGGGGCAAAAGGCUUUUGUCUGAGAAGGAGGAAGAGUGACGGUAACGGGAAAAGAAGCCCCGGCUAAAUACGUG
rnacentral:rRNA from 1 species